CAAAUGACUCUCGGCAAUGGAUAUCUCGGCUCUUGAUCGAUGAAGAACGUAGUGAAAUGCGAUACUUGGUGUGAAUUGCAGAAUCUCGUGAACCACUGAGUCUUUGAACGCAAGUUGUGCCCGAGGCCUUGUGGUUGAGGGCACGCCUGCUUGGGCGUCAUGG
rnacentral:rRNA from 1 species